rnacentral:pre_miRNA from 14 species
UCUUCGGGGUCUGGGGUGGGUGCGAAGAUCCCGGACGAGCCCCCAAAUGAAAGAUCCCCGAAGGGAGACCCUUACUCAAGUCUCGGGAAAUCGUGGACCCCAGACAUAGAGAGACCA